rnacentral:rRNA from 1 species
UACAGAGGGUGCGAGCGUUGUUCGGAAUUAUUGGGCGUAAAGGGCGCGUAGGCGGUGCGGUAAGUCACCUGUGAAAUCUCCUGGCUCAACUGGGAGCUUGCAGGCGAAACUGCCGUGCUGGAGUGUGGGAGAGGUGCGUGGAAUUCCUGGUGUAGCGGCGAAAUGCGUAGAUAUCAGGAGGAACACCUGUGGCGAAAGCGGCGCACUGGACCACAACUGACGCUGAGGCGCGAAAGCUAGGGGAGCAAACAGG